rnacentral:snRNA from 1 species
AGCUUUGCGCAGUGGCAGUAUUGUAGCCAAUGAGGUUUAUCCGAGGUGCAAUUAAUGCUAAUUGAAAAAUGAACAAUAGGGGCACCUGGGUGGCUCAGUGGGUUAAGCUGCUGCCUUCGGCUCAGGUCAUGAUCCCAGAGUCCUGG